rnacentral:rRNA from 1 species
CGCUGGCGGCGUGCUUAACACAUGCAAGUCGAACGGAAAGGCCCUGCUUUUGUGGGGUGCUCGAGUGGCGAACGGGUGAGUAACACGUGAGUAACCUGCCCUUGACUUUGGGAUAACUUCAGGAAACUGGGGCUAAUACCGGAUAGGAGCUCCUGCUGCAUGGUGGGGGUUGGAAAGUUUCGGCGGUUGGGGAUGGACUCGCGGCUUAUCAGCUUGUUGGUGGGGUAGUGGCUUACCAAGGCUUUGACGGGUAGCCGGCCUGAGAGGGUGACCGGCCACAUUGGGACUGAGAUACGGCCCAGACUCCUACGGGAGGCAGCAGUGGGGAAUAUUGCACAAUGGGCGGAAGCCUGGUGCAGCAACGCCGCGUGCGGGAUGACGGCCUUCGGGUUGUAAACCGCUUUCGCCUGUGACGAAGCGUGAGUGACGGUAAUGGGUAAAGAAGCACCGGCUAACUACGUGCCAGCAGCCGCGGUGAUACGUAGGGUGCGAGCGUUGUCCGGAUUUAUUGGGCGUAAAGGGCUCGUAGGUGGUUGAUCGCGUCGGAAGUGUAAUCUUGGGGCUUAACCCUGAGCGUGCUUUCGAUACGGGUUGACUUGAGGAAGGUAGGGGAGAAUGGAAUUCCUGGUGGAGCGGUGGAAUGCGCAGAUAUCAGGAGGAACACCAGUGGCGAAGGCGGUUCUCUGGGCCUUUCCUGACGCUGAGGAGCGAAAGCGUGGGGAGCGAACAGGCUUAGAUACCCUGGUAGUCCACGCUGUAAACGGUGGGUACUAGGUGUGGGGUCCAUUCCACGGGUUCCGUGCCGUAGCUAACGCUUUAAGUACCCCGCCUGGGGAGUACGGCCGCAAGGCUAAAACUCAAAGGAAUUGACGGGGCCCCGCACAAGCGGCGGAGCAUGCGGAUUAAUUCGAUGCAACGCGUAGAACCUUACCUGGGUUUGACAUGGAUCGGGAGUGCUCAGAGAUGGGUGUGCCUCUUUUGGGGUCGGUUCACAGGUGGUGCAUGGCUGUCGUCAGCUCGUGUCGUGAGAUGUUGGGUUAAGUCCCGCAACGAGCGCAACCCUUGUUCACUGUUGCCAGCACGUUAAGGUGGGGACUCAGUGGAGACCGCCGGGGUCAACUCGGAGGAAGGUGGGGAUGACGUCAAGUCAUCAUGCCCCUUAUGUCCAGGGCUUCAUGCAUGCUACAAUGGCUGGUACAGAGAGUGGCGAGCCUGUGAGGGUGAGCGAAUCUCGGAAAGCCGGUCUCAGUUCGGAUUGGGGUCUGCAACUCGACCUCAUGAAGUCGGAGUCGCUAGUAAUCGCAGAUCAGCAACGCUGCGGUGAAUACGUUCCCGGGGCUUGUACACACCGCCCGUCAAGUCAUGAAAGUUGGUAACACCCGAAGCCGGUGGCCUAACCGUUGUGGGGGAGCCGUCGAAGGUGGGACUGGUGAUU